UACGAAGGGGGCUAGCGUUGCUCGGAAUCACUGGGCGUAAAGCGCACGUAGGCGGCUUCUUAAGUCAGGGGUGAAAUCCUGGAGCUCAACUCCAGAACUGCCUUUGAUACUGAGUAGCUUGAGUCCGGGGAGAGGUGAGUGGAACUGCGAGUGUAGAGGUGAAAUUCGUAGAUAUUCGCAAGAACACCAGUGGCGAAGGCGGCUCACUGGCCCGGUACUGACGCUGAGGUGCGAAAGCGUGGGGAGCAAACAGG
rnacentral:rRNA from 1 species